AGUCUCAUGUACGACCCAUAUGAAAAAUACUUGACAAAUCUUAAUUACCUAAAAUAAUCGAUCUACGAUCAAUCUCCGUUUCAUCUUCUUUCAAUCUCUGUUACCCAUCCUCCUCUGCAAUCAACAACCAUUUGCUUUAAUUCCCUCUUAAUUCACAUCUCAUGUCGCUUUGUAUUUCACAUCUCACGAAGUCUAUCUCGAUCCGAGUUACGAUUCCGACUCAUACAUUUCUUGGAGGCGAAAAAUGCAGCAAAGGAGGGAGCUCUAUUGGACUGGAGAUUCUCAUCACCGACGAACAGGUUUGUGUCUUUAACCAAAAAUUUGAGACCAGUAACCAAGGUAACGUAACAUAAUCUAGAAUGUAUACUUUCAUAGUCAAUCUAUAAAACAGCUUCUGAUUUUGUUUGUUGUUUUAUUUCUUUAAUUAAGGUGGCCAUGACAAGCUUGAUCUCAGCUUGGGAAUGUCACUUUCCCCCGGGAAUGCUUCAAAGCGAAACGGAAGGCUCUUUCAUUACCCUUAAUACUUAUGAGAUUCAUCGUGGAGUUGGUUUAACGGUUUUUGGAGGUUAAUGACACUGGAAAAACACAUGCUUCGUACCAUAUAUAUAUAUAUAUAUAUAUAUAUAUAUAUAGGUUAUGCUUUUCACAUGGAGUUUAAGUAAGGUGGAAAACGCCACUGAGAUCUUCAAUCUCAGAAUAUCUAGGUUGUAAUUAGCAGCUUAGCCACAAACAAAUUGAUCACCUUAAAGGAUCACUUCUCCAUUUAGCUUAACGUUGGACAUCUUGAUCCUGAUGGUAUCUACACUGGCCAGUUCGCCACACUCCCCUCUGCGUAUUUGUCUGUGCCCAGAUUUGUCAUAGCUCUCAACUAAUCUACGUUAGAUUUACUUUUUCAUCAUCUCAGAUCUUAGUUUAGUCUUCCAUAAUUGUAUUUUUAGCAAAAAGUAUGAUUGUGUUGGUCUUUCAACGUUUUCAUUCUUAUGAAACAUAACGAUGAUACUAAAAAUGUUUGUUUAAGUAGUUGUUUCUAAACAAUUAUUUCUAUAAAACAGUGGUGGAUAUGAAACUAUUUUACUAAAUGCUAUUCAGGUCCACCGUCUCACUCA